UGCAAAUUAAAUUUACGCAUCUUAUUUUAAAUCUAAAAACACAGUACACUAAGCACAUGUAACAUCAACCAAUUACUUCCAUUUUAAGGAACACAUUUGUCUUAAACAUCACACAAGAAUAAAGAUGGUAUGCAGGAAACUGUCAUUGAAAGGAAUGCAGCCUGGUGUCAAAUGGUAUUUAAAUAUUGCGAUUUUCAUAUGCAUGUACCAUAUAAGAUAAUCAGAUAAAUUUAUGCACAAUAAAAACAUUUUGAUCUUGAUUACAAUACAAUUCCACACAUGGGAUGGGAUGAAGCAGUAUCUCCCAUAUUAAUAAGGCAAAAAGCUUUCUCAUCUAUCCUACCCUCAAAUUCUAGAAGUGAACAAUCUAAAAGCAUUAAGCAAAAAGAGAGCGGG
rnacentral:misc_RNA from 1 species